CUCGCAGUUUUCUAUCUCAUUUAGGAUUUAUGUUGGAAUGCAACACCUAAUUCUGACAGGUUUCUAUCCUUUAUGAUUUGCCACUUUUAGAAGCCACCUUUUACGGCAGUUACUAUUUUUAGCAGGUUUCCAUAAAUAGCAGGUUUCGGGUGAAAUGAAAAGGGGAAUUGAGAUUCGUUUAUUUUAUAGGAGAUGCGUUGUCAAGUGGAGAUUUACGUUUUCAUCGAACCUUUCCCUUUCGGGAAUGGGGACAAAAGUAGGUGUCUACAGGUGGUUAUUGUUGGAGGAUUAAAUAUGAGCUAAAUUUCUCUUGCAAAAAUGCUGUUGGGUGUUUUUAUUUUUAUUCUUAAAUGUAUACAUGGAUGUGGUCUAUAUUCUGAAAUAAGUUUAAUUUAAACAAUGGGUUAAUGUUAACCCCCUUCGUCAAUCUAUUCUUUGAUGUUUUAUUGAUAAAGAAAACGUAUUUAUCUGUUUACUGGUCGGAAGGCAUGCUUUCAUUUGUCAAGAGGAAGGUUUACAGGCCAUUUAUAUACAGUAACCUAUAACAUAUUAGGCCUCAUCGUAAACCCUCGACUUAAAUCUACUUGGUAAUAAUCUGAAAUGUUUAACAUAAGUAUUACGAGUAAACUUUAAGAGAAACUUUUUUAGUAGAAUACUAAUAUGUUGAGGCAACCUAAAAGAGAAACUUAAUAAUUACCUUGGAUAGAUCAAGAUGUUGAGUGGAGAUUUUCUAAGAUUACAGCAUAUGUAGUGAACCUGUGCUGUGCAUUUGAAAGUGAAUAGAAGUUGAGAUGACUUGAUCCCCUAAGCCAAAGGCUAUAACUUAUGAUAGUGUGGUUAAUUGAAGGAUCUCUCAAAAAGGAUCCUACUUAGAGUUUAAGGGUUAUGCUUUCUGAUAAAUAGGAUUUAAGUCAUGUUUGCACAGAAUCAAGGGAUUCUGAACAAAGGUUAUAAUCAAUUACCAAUCAUUAAAGGUUAUAAUCAAUUACCAAUCAUUUAAUUUAUAUUGCUAUUUGACCUAAGGAAACAUCCAAGUAGUUGAGUGGUGAUAUUGAUAUUUAUAUAAACACUGUAUGAUUGUAGUGAACCUCUUCAUUAAGCUUGAAAAGAACUUGGACUAGACUCUAGAGUUCCCGAUUAGAGCGAUGGUUUUGAGGUUUUCUUGUGAGUUGUGAGGGAUCAUGAGGCAGGGUUUUGAUACCUAAGCUUCUUCUAGAAAAUAUUUGAGGACAAUUGGUGUUAGGACGCUCAGCGUAUAUGGAUGGUCGGUACUAGCUCAGAUAUUUCUUUUCAGGAUUCAUGUGAUGGUAACUAAAAGUGGAAGGUGUUGUUUUGAGGAGAAUGUACUGGAAUUGCAAACCUUGGAUCCCUGAAAUGGAAAAGUAUUGAGAAACUAUAUAAGCGAUGUUGAAAGACAUCCUGAAAGGUGAUGUGAGACAUCCUAAAGUUAUCUUCUAAGCUCUCUAGUACAUAGAGAUGGUACUAGGGUUCUUGGACACUUCAAUUUCUUGGGCUAGAUCCAGAGGUCAGACAACGAAAAACGAAAUAUAACAAUAUGUCAGGUCAUAAGAGUGAGAUACGGGCACAGUAAAAUAAUUGCCUAUUGAUGCAAUUACUGGCAACGUGACAUGAGUCUGUCCCAUGUUUGCGACUUUGUGGUAUAAACUCAUGCAGUGCGCGAUAACACUUGAAGUUUAAGGACAUUGAAAGGAAAUUCUAAGCAAAAACUGCCUUACAGGCAAUCCAGGUUGUUUUUUUUUGUUACAGGCGAUCCAGACGUGUUCAAGAACAACGAGUUUAGGUUGCUUAACUGCUUAAGCCAUGAGAGUGGUAAGUGCUGACACAUCCAUGUUAAAAUCUUUCUGAGAAAGGAGAAAGGCAUUACUUAGGUGAAAUAUUCUAAUUAUAGAAAUUGGAAGAACAAAUCGAAGUGUCCAAAAUCCAAAUACUCACAUAAAAUAAAACAUCCCAAACCUAGGUAUCUAUGAUUUGUUGCUGUCUAUCCACUGUAGUUAAAAUACAGGAAAAACCCACAACACUUGUACUUUGAUUAAUGAGAAAAUGCAGCUUAUACAUUUAGUUUCUUUGAAUUGUAAAAAUGAUCCCUAGAGUUCCCCCAAACACUUCAGUAGGACACACAUGUCUCUUUUGGCUGCUUAAUUGGUGGUCCUGAUGUCUUAUUGAAGCGUUUGAGGUAGUUCUAGGGGGGUUAUGAGGCUGUGAUGAAAUUAAAAGAUUGCAAUUUUACUUGCCAAUAUUUUUUUUUUUCACGCUUAUACUUACAAAUCUAAAAUCUCACUCAACAUCUUGCCAAUAUUUGUAUCUUGUUGGAAAUCAGGGUCGGAUGUUCAGUAAUCUAACCUGCACAGGGCAUACUUAUUCAUAUUCCCCAAAGCCAUUUCCCCUGUUGUGCCGUAGGGGUUUCGUCGAAAAAGCAUCCGGAAAGUCAGACCACUCUCUUUCACAUUUCUGUUAGGCUCACUUAUCUGGAAGCAGUCCGAAUCACUGAAAGCGUAAAGCAUGUUGCAUAAAGUUUUUCACUUCUGGUUGUGGAAGCUGCAUUGAUUCAAGUAUGUGUGGAAUGUCCAUGAGAAUAAAUUGAAGAAAAGGACAGGAGAUAUACAAGGUGGAAAAGUAUUUAUGUACAUGAUUCUCUUGCAUUUAACAUUAUAUUCUUCCCUUUUUUACCAAAGCCACAUUACUUGACUAGCUACAUGCUGUUUUGUGAUAUUGCACUUGGCCUGAAUUUCGGUUCUAUUAUACUGUCUUUCGUACCUCAACAUAAAAUGAUCAUUAAGGCUAGUACAUACUACAUAGUGAUUUUAUUUUUCUUUAUAAAUUUGCUGUUGAGAUGCAUUUAGUAUCGGCAAACAAUGAAGUCAGGCAUCCUCUGGAGUUUCCUCGGAACACUUCAAUUGGGACAUGUAUGGCUUCCUGUUUCUCUACUGAAGUGUUUGGGGGAACUCUUGGUGGUGCUUGACAUUUCAGAGUGGCAUUUUGAUUUCAGGGCAGUGCAACUAUCUAAGAUGCUUUAACAUUUAUCAUGCAACUUUGACUCGUAAAUUUGAUGUACAAUUGAGAUGCAUUUGGGUUUCGCAAACAAUGCAGUCAUGUAUUGUCAGGAGUUCCCUCGGAACACUUCAAUGGGGAUGGCUUUUCGAAAGGAAGCUUUUCUUCACUGAAGUGUUUGGGGGAACUCUUGGUGGUACUUGACAUUGUAGAAUGGCAAUAUCAACUUCUGACAGAGAUACAAUUCAAUUUCUUGCACUUAUCUGCUAAUGAUAAUAUUUGUUUAACAUAAUUUUUCAUACACAAUGCACUUGAAAACAUAGUAUAAUCAUCUGGACUUUAGUUUAUAUCAGUAAUAACAUAUGGUGAUCAUACAGCAUCAACUGACAUUAUUGUAAUAUAUAUGGUGAUCAUGCAGCAUCAACUGACAUUAUUUUACAUAUGUAUACAUUGUCAGAAACCAUGAAAUUACAACCCAACUUAAUUCAGAGUCCAGAAGGAGGUUUUCCGGGACAUGUGCAGUAACCAUCUUUACACACGGGUGCAACGCACGGUGUAAGUCUGCAGUCAUACGCAUAUGAACAAGCCACCUUUUGCACGUGCACAUCUGUGGUUGGAUGAUGACCGGUCUUCGGGACUUGGGAUACAGCGGUACUAGAUAAGAUCAAUGUUGCCAACAACACCAACACUGCUGUGUAAGAUGAAGCGUUCUUUGCCAUUUUUGCUAAAUUUAAUCUUUGUGCUUUUGUUAUUUUGAUUGCUUAGUGUAAGGUUUUGUGAUUCAGCCAGGAGUGUUAUUUAUAGACAAGAUAUUGUAUGAAGUUGGUGUUUCUCGUGAGAGGGCCCACAGGGGGUUAUACAGUUAUACUGAUCUUCUGUGUUGCUUUUUGCA